rnacentral:rRNA from 1 species
GACGAACGCUGGCGGCGUGCUUAACACAUGCAAGUCGAACGGAAAGGCCCUGCUUUUGUGGGGUGCUCGAGUGGCGAACGGGUGAGUAACACGUGAGUAACCUGCCCUUGACUUUGGGAUAACUUCAGGAAACUGGGGCUAAUACCGGAUAGGAGCUCCUGCUGCAUGGUGGGGGUUGGAAAGUUUCGGCGGUGGGGGAUGGACUCGCGGCUUAUCAGCUUGUUGGUGGGGUAGUGGCUUACCAAGGCUUUGACGGGUAGCCGGCCUGAGAGGGUGACCGGCCACAUUGGGACUGAGAUACGGCCCAGACUCCUACGGGAGGCAGCAGUGGGGAAUAUUGCACAGUGGGCGGAAGCCUGAUGCAGCAGCGCCGCGUGCGGGAUGCCGGCCUUCGGGUUGUAAACCGCUUUCGCCUGUGACGAAGCGUGAGUGACGGUAAUGGGUAAAGAAGCACCGGCUAACUACGUG